GUAAGUAUGCAUGUCUGAAUGGUGGUUGGAUACAGACAAGAGGCCAUAGAGAGAAGCGUAGAGAAUCUUCCAGAAAUAAUGGACCAACUUAAGAAGAUCC